CUGGCGGCGUGCUUAACACAUGCAAGUCGAACGAGAAUCUGUGGAUAGAGGUUCGGCCAAUUGAAGCAGAGGAAAGUGGCGGACGGGUGAGUAACGCGUGAGGAACCUGCCUUUCAGAGGGGGACAACAGUUGGAAACGACUGCUAAUACCGCAUGAUGCAUAGAGGUCGCAUGGCCUUUAUGCCAAAGAUUUAUCGCUGAAAGAUGGCCUCGCGUCUGAUUAGCUAGUUGGUGAGGUAACGGCCCACCAAGGCGACGAUCAGUAGCCGGACUGAGAGGUUGAACGGCCACAUUGGGACUGAGAUACGGCCCAGACUCCUACGGGAGGCAGCAGUGGGGAAUAUUGGGCAAUGGGCGCAAGCCUGACCCAGCAACGCCGCGUGAAGGAAGAAGGCUUUCGGGUUGUAAACUUCUUUUGUUGGGGACGAGUAGAAGACGGUACCUGACGAAUAAGCCACGGCUAACUACGUGCCAGCCGCCGC
rnacentral:rRNA from 1 species